rnacentral:rRNA from 1 species
UACGUAGGGUGCAAGCGUUGUCCGGAAUUAUUGGGCGUAAAGAGCUCGUAGGCGGUUUGUUGCGUCGGCUGUGAAAUCCCGAGGCUCAACCUCGGGUCUGCAGUCGAUACGGGCAAACUAGAGUGUUGCAGGGGAGACUGGAAUUCCUGGUGUAGCGGUGAAAUGCGCAGAUAUCGGGAGGAACACCGGUGGCGAAGGCGGUUCUCUGGGCCUGUACUGACGCUGAGGAGCGAAAGCGUGGGGAGCGAACAGG